rnacentral:rRNA from 1 species
GGGAUUCAUCCAUUGGUCAGGCUUAACUGUCUGCACUGGUGAGAUGAGUUCUUACCUUCUGAGGAACCUUCAUGCCAUUCAUUUGGUGUGAUGGGAAAUCAAGACUGUUACUUUGAAAAAAUUAGAGUGUUUAAAGCAGGCUUACGUCUGAAUACAUUAGCAUGGAAUAAUGAAAUAGGACGGAUGAUCCUAUUUCGUUGGUUUCUAGGAUCACCGUAAUGAUUAAUAGGGACAGUU